rnacentral:rRNA from 1 species
GUUCAGCCGCCGCGGUAAUACGUAGGGUGCGAGCGUUAAUCGGAAUUACUGGGCGUAAAGCGAGCGCAGGCGGUUUUGUAAGUCAGAUGUGAAAGCCCCGGGCUCAACCUGGGAACUGCGUUUGAAACUGCAAGGCUAGAGUAUGGGAGAGGGGGGUAGAAUUCCACGUGUAGCAGUGAAAUGCGUAGAGAUGUGGAGGAAUACCAAUGGCGAAGGCAGCCCCCUGGCCUAAUACUGACGCUCAUGCUCGAAAGCGUGGGGAGCAAACAGGAUUAGAUACCCUGGUAGUCCACGCCCUAAACGAUGUCUACUAGUUGUUGGUGGAGUAAAAUCCAUUAGUAACGCAGCUAACGCGUGAAGUAGACCGCC